UGCUACAUUUUAAAUUUGAAUGCUCCCUUUCUUUUCCCUCUCUCCUUUAGUUACAACACCCACUCCCACAAACUUCUGAGUUUUCCUCAGUAUCUCUUGCAGUCACCAGAGUUAUUUCUCCACAGAAGGAUCACAGUAAAUCUCCUAACGGCUGCUUUGUUCACUGUGUCUGCCAAGUGAAAGAGUCUGGUUUUUCUAAGGAGAUUAAGUUAAUAUAUGGACUAUUUCCCUGAACCAAGACCACCACGGUGUCCUACUGCAGUAUCAUCUAAACCUCUUUUAUACUUUUUCUUCUUACAUUGAGUUCUGCGCACUUGAGCGGUGUACAGUAGGCUUUGAUACCACUUGUCCACAUGAACAACUCCUCAACUGUGUGUGACUGUACUGUUGUUGUUUUAAAGUGCUUGAGAAUCACCUUUGUACUUGCUAAGUAAGUGCAAAUCGCGGCACGACCCUUCCAGUGCUCAGGACUAUUAUUAGACAGUCAACUUUG